CAAAGUCUGGGGAAGGUGCAGCUUUUAGAAGGGCAUGGGGCUGUGUCUGGGGUGGGCAGGAGAGUGGAGGGAACCGAAGUGAUUUCCUGCAGACCGGGGCUGGGAGAUGGGGCCUUGAUCAGCGGCACAGCCCAGUGCUGAGCAAGCCCAGCGCAGUGCUGGCCCACCCGCCCACCCUCAGGCCUUCAGCUUCCUGCAAGUCACAGCUUCCCCUGGGAAGGUCGCCAGGAGAGCCAGGGCAGCGCCACUGCUCGGGCUCGGGCUCGGGCUCGGGCCACAGCCUGUUCCCGGGAGCGCGGUCUGUCCUCCACACACAGCCACCCCCGCAGGCAAGCAGCUCUUCGAAGACUCGUGCAAUAAAUCAUACACAGGAACAACAACAUCCGGCUCAGGGGGAAAGCCAGCUGUGGUGGUGUGCACUUGUGAUCCCAGCGGCUCUGGAGGCUGAGGCAAGAGGACUGCAAGUUUGAGGACAGCCUGGGCAACUUAGUGAGACCCUGUCACAAACAACAGCAACAAAGACACAAAACAGCCAAACAGGGCCAAGAACAGGCAAAGUCGGUGGCAGGGCAGUGGACCAGUCAGACCCACAACCCGCUGGUCACUCCCUACCCACUUCCAGGCACUUCCUCCCGCCCUCCUCUGCUUCCUGGCAGGCUCAUCUUAGGAGUGCUGUCUUAGGAGUGCUGUCUUGUGAAGGGGCUGCUGUCUUACCUGACAGACUGGAGCCUGUGGGUCCUCAAAGUGCUGGUGUACGGGGGGCAUCAACUACAGCUUUUGAUUAAUGAGCACUAGCCGGGGUUCUUAGGUUCUGCAAUCUCAGUCUCCUUUACCCAGAUGUUUGUUGUUCUAGACACCAGAAGGUGACACAGGGCUGGGGGAGGGCGGGACAGCAGAGCCCUGACCUGCAGGAGGAUUGGAAGUCACAAAGGAGAAAAGUGGAUUAAUUUUUGUCCUUUGAAACUUCCUUUGAUUCCUGGUAAUGCUGAAGUGCUUCAGAUCAGUCCUCCCAAUGAACCACUUAGAAAGCUGAGUGGAAUAGAAGAAACCUUCCUGACAGCAUCAACGGGCCAACAAGAGAGGAAGGAGUUGCUGGGGCCGAGCUCAGGAAGUGGCUAGGAGCCCAGAGAAGCGGGCCUGGCCCCCUGGAGUUUGCUAAUCCACAGCAGGGCAGGGCAAACUGGGCUUUGAGUGCUUCAUGGGGUGGGAGCGAAAGCCAGAGUCUAGGGACCCUGGGCACAGAGCUUGACCAGCUGCCUGCUCUGGCCAGACCUAGAAGGACCUCACCGCACAAAGGCGGGGGAAACAAAGGCCUUGAGUGUGGAUCAAGGGAAUUUCCGAAGCAUCAGGUUCCCCAGACACCUGGCAAAGAGGAAGAAAGCCCUCCUCGGGAAAGAGAAUAUCCUCCCAGCCUCACCAGUCUGGAGACACCUUUGCAAACAAUGCUUGGCACACAGCAAAAAAUGACCAGACAGGUGGGGAGCUGGCUCCAAAAGGGACCAAUCAGAGCCACCGAACCAAAGGCAUGCAAAUUACCGGAAUUCUUGAAUUUUCCUCAAAUGGGAGCUUAUUGUUUUGGUGAUCAUCUAUCCUGGAAGAAAUACUUUGCGUUCCAGAACCACUGGGCCCAAGAGGUGAGAACAGCCCCAGCUGCCCCAGGAGCCUGCAUAGGCAGAUACACCGGGGACAGCGGAAGCGCCGGGACCUGCUGACCGGCUGGAGCUGGACCCUGAGGUUCGGCAGAGCCGGCUGGGACCUAAGUGUCCUGCAGGAUGCACGUGGUUUACUGCAAGCUGCUGUCGGAGGGUCCGGCCUCUCCCGCCGGCCCAUCUUCCUGUCCACCUAGUGGGCUGGCCGUGCGGGCCGGGUAAGAGUGAGUGACAGGGUGGCGGCCGGCUCGGCCAGGCUCCGCUGCUGGGGCUGUUUGGAAGCCUUUACUCUGGGCUCCGGCCCGGUCUCCCGAAAGGCCGGCUUUCCAAGCUGGGGGUGUUGGACCCGUCCGGUCCUGUAGGACCGGUCUCCCGGCUGGCGCGGGCAGAGGUCGGGCUGGACCCGGGGACCUCGGGAUCCACGGCUGUCCGGGCCGGUCGCCCGAACCCGGGCUCGGCCUGGAGCGACCCGGGCUCCGUCUCCGACUCCGAGAAAGCCAGGAGGGCGGCCCAGACCGGCGCCUGGGGGGAAG
rnacentral:lncRNA from 1 species